UGUGGUAUAGCUCAAUGGUAGAGCAUUUGCCUAGCAUACAGAAGGUCCUGACUUCAAACUCCAGUGCCACAA
rnacentral:tRNA from 1 species